GACGAACGCUGGCGGCGUGCUUAACACAUGCAAGUCGAACGGAAAGGCCCCUUUGGGGGUACUCGAGUGGCGAACGGGUGAGUAACACGUGAGUAACCUGCCCUUGACUUCGGGAUAACUUCAGGAAACUGGGGCUAUUACCGGAUAGGAAUCCUUGCUGCAUGGUGGGGGUUGGAAAGCUUCGGCGGUUUUGGAUGGACUUGCGGCUUAUCAGCUUGUUGGUGGGGUAGUGGCUUACCAAGGCUUUGACGGGUAGCCGGCCUGAGAGGGCGACCGGCCACAUUGGGACUGAGAUACGGCCCAGACUCCUACGGGAGGCAGCAGUGGGGAAGAUUGCACAAUGGGCGGAGGCCUGAUGCAGCAACGCCGCGUGCGGGAUGACGGCCUUCGGGUUGUAAACCGCUUUCAGCAGGGGCGAAGCUUGUGGUGACGGUACCGGAAGAAGAAGCACCGGCUAACUACGUG
rnacentral:rRNA from 1 species